UACGUAGGUCCCGAGCGUUGCCCGGAUUUAUUGGGUUUAAAGGGUGCGUAGGCGGAUCGUUAAGUCAGUGGUCAAAUUGAGGGGCUCAACCCCUUCCCGCCAUUGAAACUGGCGAUCUUGAGUGGAAGAGAAGUAUGCGGAAUGCGUGGUGUAGCGGUGAAACGCAUAGAUAUCACGCAGAACUCCGAUUGCGAAGGCAGCAUACCGGCGCCCUACUGACGCUGAGGCACGAAAGCGUGGGUAUCGAACAGG
rnacentral:rRNA from 1 species